GAUGAACGCUGGCGGCGUGCCUAAUACAUGCAAGUCGAGCGAACGGACGAGAAGCUUGCUUCUCUGAUGUUAGCGGCGGACGGGUGAGUAACACGUGGAUAACCUACCUAUAAGACUGGGAUAACUUCGGGAAACCGGAGCUAAUACCGGAUAAUAUUUUGAACCGCAUGGUUCAAAAGUGAAAGACGGUCUUGCUGUCACUUAUAGAUGGAUCCGCGCUGCAUUAGCUAGUUGGUAAGGUAACGGCUUACCAAGGCAACGAUGCAUAGCCGACCUGAGAGGGUAAUCGCCCCCACUGGAAUGAGAACCCGGCCCAGACCCCUAGGGGGGGCAGCGGUGGGAAUUUUUCCGAAAGGGGCAAAGGCCGGAGGGAUAAACCCCGGGUGGGUAAUAAGGGCUUCGGGGUCUAAAAACUCUUUUUUUGGGAAAAAAAAUAUGUGUAAGUAACUGUGCACAUUUUGAGGGUCCCAAAUAAAAAAGCCACGGCUAACUACGU
rnacentral:rRNA from 1 species